GAUGGAAGAACGUAGCGAAAUGCGAUACUUGGUGUGAAUUGCAGAAUCCCGUGAACCAUCGAGUCUUUGAACGCAAGUUGCGCCCGAAGCCAUCAGGUUGAGGGCACGUCUGCCUGGGCGUCACAUAUCGUUGCCCAAUGCCUAUUGCAGUGCAAUAGGAAUUUCUAGGGCGAAUGAUGGCUUCCCGUGAGCGUUGUUGCCUCGCGGUUGGUUGAAAAUCGAGUCCUUGGUAGGGUGUGCCAUGGUAGAUGGUGGUCGAGUUAGAACGAUACCGAUCAUGUGCAUGCUCCCCAAAAUAUGGCCUCUAUGACCCACACGCGUCUUUUGACGCUCAUGACGAGACCUCAGGUCAGGCGGGGCUACCCGCUGAAUUUAAGCAUAUCAAUAAGCGGAGGA
rnacentral:misc_RNA from 1 species